AGAUGUGAGUGAUCUGCCUGCGAUAUCUGUUAUGCUGUUGGUUGCUGGUGUCGAUUCAGCUGAUCUGACUGGGUAGAGGGAUGUUCUUUUCCUCCCUCACUAUUCUGCAUGCAUACCUCCUGAAGCUGCAUGCUUGGUUGAAGAGGACAGCCUUCUCAGAUAGUGGAGGGCCUUUCUGUAGUCAGCGGUAUAUGCAUCCCAGCACUCCCCUGCUAGAGCAUCUAAAGCAGCUUUCAAAAUCAAAAGCAUUUUACUUCUUCAAAUAUAGUAACAUAAGAAGAUAAAUUCAGGAAGAAAAAAAUGAAAUACAUGUUGUUUU
rnacentral:snRNA from 1 species